rnacentral:rRNA from 1 species
GAUGAACGCUGGCGGCGUGCCUAAUACAUGCAAGUCGAGCGAACAGACGAGGAGCUUGCUCCUCUGACGUUAGCGGCGGACGGGUGAGUAACACGUGGAUAACCUACCUAUAAGACUGGGAUAACUUCGGGAAACCGGAGCUAAUACCGGAUAAUAUAUUGAACCGCAUGGUUCAAUAGUGAAAGACGGUUUUGCUGUCACUUAUAGAUGGAUCCGCGCCGCAUUAGCUAGUUGGUAAGGUAACGGCUUACCAAGGCGACGAUGCGUAGCCGACCUGAGAGGGUGAUCGGCCACACUAGAACUGAGACACGGUCCAGACUCCUACGGGAGGCAGCAGUAGGGAAUCUGCCGCACUGGGCGAAAGCCUUACGGAGCAACGCCGCGUGAGUGAUGAAGGUCUUCGGAUCGUAAAACUCUGUUAUUAGGGAAGAACAAAUGUGUAAGUAACUCUGCACGUCUUGACGGUACCUAAUCAGAAAGCCACGGCUAACUACGUG